GCCAAUGGUAUCCUAAACGUGAAAGCUGAGGAUAAAGCCUCUGGAAAGUCAGAAAAGAUUACCAUCACGAAUGACAAGGGUCGUUUGAGUCAAGAAGAAAUUGAACGUAUGGUAAAGGAGGCUGAGGAGUUUGCCGAGGAGGACAAGAAGGUGAAAGAAAGAGUUGAUGCCCGAAACAGCCUGGAGACGUACGUUUACAACAUGAGGAACCAAAUCAACGAUAAGGACAAACUUGCAGACAAGUUAGAGUCUGAUGAGAAGGAGAAGAUUGAAACCGCCACAAAAGAAGCACUUGAAUGGUUGGACGACAACCAGAGUGCUGAAAAGGAGGAUUAUGAAGAGAAGCUGAAAGAAGUUGAGGCAGUGUGCAACCCAGUUAUCACGGCUGUGUAUCAGAGGUCUGGUGGAGCACCAGGAGGUGCCAGUGAGGAUUCCAGCGAGGAUGAUGAUUCACAUGAUGAGCUGUAAUUGAAUUUGUAGGCUUAAUAGUUUCUCUUGUUUCUCAAAUAGAUAUAGAUACUCUUUUUUCUUUUGUUAUGAUUUCAUUUCUUAUGUAAUUUCACCGUACGAAGGGGUGGAACGUAGAACAAGUUGGGAAGAAAUCGUGAGUGAAGGACGUAAUGUUGUAGCUCUGGUUUCUUUCCUUUUGUUCAUUUUUUUCGUACACCUGUAUAGAGACGCGAUCUUAUUCAGAAUUUAUAUUUCUUUUAUCCAUUGUGUCAAG
rnacentral:misc_RNA from 1 species